UACGUAGGUGGCAAGCGUUACUCGGAAUCACUAGCGUAAAGCGCAGGUAGGAGGUUCGAUAAGUCUGUUGUGAAAGCUCCCGGCUUAACUGGGAGAGGUCAACGGAAACUGUCGAGCUAGAGUGUGGUAGAGGUAGCUGGAAUUCCCGGUGUAGUGGUGAAAUGCGUAGAUAUCGGGAGGAACACCUAUGGCGAAAAGCAGCUGCCUGGGCCUUUACUGACGCUAAGACUCGAAAGCUAGGGGAGCAAACGGG
rnacentral:rRNA from 1 species